rnacentral:rRNA from 1 species
UACGUAGGGUGCAAGCGUUAAUCGGAAUUACUGGGCGUAAAGCGUGCGCAGGCGGUAAUGUAAGACAGGUGUGAAAUCCCAGGGCUUAACCUUGGAACUGCAUUUGUGACUGCAUUGCUGGAGUGCGGCAGAGGGGGAUGGAAUUCCGCGUGUAGCAGUGAAAUGCGUAGAUAUGCGGAGGAACACCGAUGGCGAAGGCAAUCCCCUGGGCCUGCACUGACGCUCAUGCACGAAAGCGUGGGGAGCAAACAGG